CCCCUACUUCUUUAUUCUUUAGAUGAAACUAAAUAUUGAUAUACCAAAUUGUUACAAGAAAAAGAAUGCCCUGAGAACUUGAUUGUAAUAACAUUAAAUUUAUCAAAUAAUUGGGGGAUAAUUGACUUAAUCAUAAUUACAAGAGCUGUUUCAAAUCUUUUUAAGUACCAAACACAAUAAUAUUGUUGAAAUACAUUUGCCAUGUUUAUGAAAUUCUUAAUGUAAUAUUAUUUGUAAUGGUAAUAUUAGUAAUAGUUUGAUAUAUUAAUAAUUCAGUUGAUCUAAGCAUGCAUUCUUUCAUGAUGAUGAUUAUGGUCAAAAUAUGCCAAAUGUGUCUGUAAAUAUCAUGCAUAAUAUAAUCACUUAGCAAAUAAAUUGCUGAAAGAGAAGGAAAAACGUAGAGUUGGUUCUAAAGCUGUGGCAAUGUUGCUUUUAGUCAUAUGUUCUCAUUUACUCCAUUCCAGAAUGUUUAUGUGCUAUUGCAUAGUCCCUGGCGUGCCAUCUGUUCCUGCAGUCAAGACCAGUAAACUCAGGUAUGAGCCUUGCAAGAAGACAUACAUAUUUUGCUGAUUGCCAAGGGGAUAAUGCAUUGGGUAUAAGAAGAAGGAAAGUAGAGGAACCAAUUAAGAAAUAUUUACUACAAUUAAGAAGAGAUGAUAAUAACUUCGACCAAGGUGGAGGCUAUGAAGAUGGAGCAAUGCGAAUACAUGGAGACAUGUUUUUGAUGUAGACUCAGCAAGAAAUUCUAAUAUAUUAGAUUUUAUGUUUUGGGAGAAAAAGAGACAUCUCCAAGAUUAUGGCUUGAAUAGAUUGGGACUAAUAGUGAAACUUGAGAGUGAUCACAUAUGGAGAUGAAAGAUUGAAAGACCUCUCGCUGAACAUAAUAUAGAAGGUCUAAAAUACUCUCAAGUCCCCUCCAUCUCAAAAUGACAGCAGUAACAGUGAAAACUAAACAUAGCUGUACCAAGGGCCUGUGUAUCUUACUUCGCCCUCCUUGUGAGUUGCCACUUCCUGUUCAUCCUCCUAUCAACGUGAUAUAAACACCAAAAUAGACCAAAGUAAUUAUCUGGGGAAUGUCCAGAGGGUGUUUACCUUCAGAAAAUUAACAGCUUUGAGACUAAAUCGAUGACCCAGCAAGAAGGUUCUCAUCAGUGGCUGACCAGAUGCCAGAAACAUGCCAUUGGAGUGCCCAGCCUUCAGAACAUGCCUCCAAGCCUCUCCCCAAGUUAGCACCAGCACUUGGGAGAAAGUACUCUCCCUCAGCCUGGGAUGCUUCACUCUUCGGUGGAAAG
rnacentral:lncRNA from 10 species